rnacentral:lncRNA from 1 species
GGGGUCUCUUUGUCUCUGCAAUCAAGCUCUCCCAAUAAACGUGUGCAGAAGGAUCCUGUUGCAGCGUCGUUACUGCUGGCCAGUCCGGCGCGUGCAGAAGUGGUGCCGAAAACCUGGGACAAGAAACAUCUACAGGCACUAGCAAAGACCCCCUGCUACAGGGAGGAUUCAGAACUGCAUCACGGGGAAGGAGCAGUUAAUAAAGGUUCCCGUAAAACAGACUGCUGAGAAGGAUCCAGCAUGGAUUCAGAACUCUUCAGCUGGGGAACGGUGGUAAUGAAGUGUUCCUGCAAAACAGACUGCUGAGAAGGAUCCAACUGCAUGGAUUCAGAACUCUUCAGCUGAGGAAUGGUGGUACCGGUUUGCUGAGGGGUGUAAAUCUGUAAAUAUGAAGUCUACUGUCCAUGUGACAAAACAGCUGUUCUCAGAGAGAGAUGACAGCCUUUGUCCAUGGACAACUAAGUAGAUAGCACGUCAGGGAUGGAUGAAAUCACAUGCCACCUGAUUAGAGCUCCAAAGUUACUCAAGCCACUCCAGAGAUAAUGAAAUACAUGUAGCAGUAAC